UGUUCUGUGGCAUAGCUGGUUAAAGCGCCGGUCUAGUGAAUACGGAGUCGUGGGUUCGAAUCUCACCACGACGC
rnacentral:tRNA from 1 species